rnacentral:lncRNA from 1 species
GUGGCCACGGAGUUUGUCUGGUGGUGGAAGGAGGGGGUGGCUGCGCCCGCCAUGCUGGGGCUCGUGUUUUUCUCUUCCGCUUCAGGCUUUGGUGAAAUGGGCUGAGGAAGGGGGAAUUGAACUGAGAGACUCCUUGUCCGUCCCCCAUUUCUUUCUUUUUUUUUUUUUUUUGAGAUGGAGUCUCGCUCUGUCGCCCAGGCUGGAGUGCAGUGGGACAAUUUUAGCUCACUGCAACCUCCGCCUCCCGGGUUCAAGCAAUUCUCCUGCCUCAGCCUCCCGAGUAGCUGGGAUUACAUGCGCCCGCCACCACACCUGGCUAAUUUUUGUAUUUUUAGUAGAGACGGGGUUUCACCACGUUGGCCAGGCCGGUACCGAACUCCCAACCUCAGGCGAUCCACCCGCCUCGGCCUCCCAAAGUGCUGGGAUUACAGGCGUGAGACACAGCGCCUGGCCUGUCCUUUUUAUGUAUUGCCAUAUUUUCUUUUCUUUUCUUUUCUGUGAGAUCCCUGUUGAGUUUUGUUAACAAGGCUAUGCUGAUAUAAUGUGUGGAGAAGUGUUCUCUCUUUUUCUAUUCUUUGAAAGUGCUAGUGUAGGAUUGAUGUUAUUUAUUUUUUAUGUGUUUGGAAGAAGUCACCAGCCAUCUGGAC